CGGUACUGAAUUAGUGCUGUGCAGGGUGGUGGGUGAUGCUUGUUGCUCAGGUCUUAAGCAUAUCCAUGUAGCAGAAUGAUGCUGCUGUUGAUAGGAAUCAGUAAAUCAGGAAGAGAAGCAAGUGUUUAAGUUUUUUAAUGGUUCUGGAAUUUUGGUUAUACUGAAUUCAAUUUGAGAGCGCACAUUUAGAAUCCGGGAAGUACAGAAAGAGCCAGAGAAUGAGUUGGGAGAAGUCUGAGAGGUUGGAGGAGCAUCCAGAUGGUAUUGGAAAUGGGGAGAGGAGGAUUUCAAGUCAGCACAUGGCCCUCCUUGCCUCUGCAAGUGGAGGUGACAACUUCGAGAGAGCCUCUGUUAUGCAUACACGUGAGAUGGCUUCUGUUUCUUGCUUUGGCUUCUGAACUUUGCUAAAGCACUUCUGCUGUCUUCAGGAGUAGACAAGACUCCCCGACCGGAGCCUAGGAAAGCCAGCCUCUCUCCCUACUCAUGUAACCUCUGUGAACCGCGGGCUGCCAGGACUCACAGGCGACGGUGUGAAAUGUGACCAGUCAACUCUCAGCUAACUCGCUUCUUGUACAUCACCCUAAAAAUAAGGAAAAGCAGCUGCGCGAGAGAUUUCAUCAAUCAUGCAACCACUGCUCUGCUUUCUAGUCUUGAAACCAAAUUCACAGGAGAAUCUAAUAAAUGACCUCAAUGCUU
rnacentral:lncRNA from 1 species